UUACCAGCACUACCUGUUAUUCUGUUGGGUUUCCCAGAGGAGUGCCAAACCAAAAAAAAGUUUAGGUUGUUCAUUCUGUACAAUAAAUGUUUUUUCUUGUUAAUUUAUUUUUAGGCAGUUGUACAGAAAACUUGAUUCAAAUGCAUAUUGUGCGAUAUGACGUUUGUUUUUUCUUCAACUUGUAUAAACUUGUUGGACCAUCGUCUGCUACUACACCUCCCAGCAUGUGUGGCCAUUCCCAGAAGAGCUUGAAAGCUGGAUAUCUGUCUGAUACAAGAAGGUCAGAAAAUUCAUGAAACGAUCGAAGACUCUGCCGACACACCGGCGCAGUGGUUGUCAUAGAAACUGUUCCUGGACAUGGCCAGAAGCCACAAUGCAAGACAAGUUUUGCUCUUAGUAUGUUGGGAACAUACCAGUAACUUAAAAAAGAUGGGCUCCUAAACAAGCAGAAAAUUCAUUUUGAAAUUACUGGUGCAAUAUGCUAAAUGGAGUAAUAUUCAAAAUGAAGGAAGCUGAUAUGCACUUGUACACUGUGAGCACGGACCUGAAGCUGUCUCCUUCAGACCAAUGUCCUGUCAGUUUGGCUCCAGGCAAUGUAACAUCCAGCCAAUCGGCCGCUGCUGAGCAGAGCUGGAAUUUCACCUGGAGCGGAGCAGUCUCUGAAGAGGAUGGCAUUGACUAUACAGGAAGAAUACGUUUUUGUUUGUGGAAAAUUAUAAACAUAUCUUUCCUGCAGUGUCGGAUGUUUUUCAGAAAUCCUUCAUGCAUUUAGAAACCUUUUUUGUUGCAUGGUAAACACUGGUUUCAUGAACAGUGAAAGAAUAAUAUGGCACUUAAUUGUGUCUGUUUUCUAUUAUUGUCCCUAAUUUCAUGUUACUAAAAGAUACAUAAACAUAAACUAUGAAGAUGUGCACACAAGUAUUUAAUGCUAUAGCCAGUUUUCCCAGCAUUUUCUUUAACAUAGAGCACCUCAAACCUAGUUGGCCCCUUUAAGCUCGCAGGAGAUCUUCAGGGCACCUUCAUACUGUAUUAAUGUAAGGACAGUCAAACAGUGUUCAACUGGGAGUUGGGAAAAUGUCACCAGGCACUUUUUGUGAUUGUGUUCCAUCUAAAUAUAGAGUCCUGCAGUCUGUUCUACAUUUUGAACCAUUUCAUGUUGCUGUGCUGCUCUCUAUUUUUACAUCAGUAUCAAUAGAGAAGGCGAUGUGCUGUUUCAAAAUAGAGUAAUAUUAUCUGCAGAUGGGGAGAAGGUUUCAAGCAUGGCACAUGUAAAGCAAUGAGGUCCAGUUUUGUAUUGGGUAAAUAAAGCGAAUGUACAUGUUUUCCCUAUGCAACCAUGCAAGACAUAAAUAACGUGCUCUUCCCUUGACUUUAGUCAAAAUUAUGUUUCAAUCGAGCUUGUUUCAAAGAAAAAGCACAAGUUCUCAUAACUGCAAGAACCUAUCUCACAAUAUCCUUUUGUCCAAUAGCCAAGGUGGCGUCAUGGGAAAGUACAAACAUUACUAUAAAAACCAGCAAAGCCAGUUUUACUGCGUUCACACAAAGGGUCAAGGAAAAAGAAUUGCAGGCAGCCAGCUUGGUAAAAAAAUACACACAAAAAAGUUUAAAGUUACAAGCAGUGUGAGGUGGAAACAAUGCCAGGACCCAAGAUGCAGCCUGGGGGGCUUCAUGACGACCUUCCAGAGGAAGCUUCAUUUUUGCAAAUCUACCCCUAUUUCUGUAGUGAAAUACCAUCUGUAAACACAAUGAACAGAAUAAAAACAAAUAUAAAAAAAAAACAAUAAAACAUGACAUCAACAAGAACAAUCCAGAGCUAGUCUGCAUUGGCUUUUAAAUUGUCUCCAUUAUGUCUCCUAAAAAGUACAGUGUUGCAGGAAAAACAAAGAUGCUUGCAAAACAAAACAAGGGCAAACAUAUCAGAACAAUACAUGGAGUUAGCUAAAGAGCUUAUCAGAAGAUUUGCUUCUUCCUGUGUAUUUGAUAAGAAGUCUAAGAAAAUACAUUAUGCAACCUUAACCAGCGGUCACAUGCUUUGGAUUUCUUAGUUACUAUUUAGUCUAAACAGUUGUUGAUGGAAAAACAUCUAACCGUGCUACCCUGCAAAAAGACCCCAACAUGUUGUUUUUUUAGCUACAGUCAAAACCCGGUGUUUACAUUCACUGAAUAAAAAGACACAAAACCCUUUUCACCGUGUGACAUUAAAUCAGACAAAUAAAAUCCCUUUUAGGUCAGUUAGGACAUCCAAAAUUAUUUAUUUAAAGUCAGAAGUUUGCAUAAAUGUCCCUAAUAUUUGGAGCUGCUGCCUUUAACAUGUAUGAUGGGUCAAAGGCUUUGGAUUUCCCCUCCACAAGUUUCUCACAAUGGUUUUGCUUGGACCAUUCUUCCUAUCAGAACUGGUGUCACUGAGUCAGGUUUGUAGCUGCCCUUUCUCAAACAAAUCUUUUCAGCGCUACCUACAACGACACUGAGAUCAGGGCAUUGUGAUGGUCACUCCAAAACAUUGAUGUUGUUGGACUUAAGCCACUUUUGCACUAAUUUAGUGGUCUACUUAGGUCAAUGUCCAUCUGGAUGAUCCAUUUAUGACCAAGCUUUAACUCCCAGGUCGAUAUCUUUAAAUGUUGCUUUAACAUUUCCACAUGAUGUUCUUUUCUCAAGAUUUUAUCUAUUUUUUUAAGUGCAUUAGUCUCUCAUGCAUCAAAACAACUGCACAUGAUGCUGUCACCCCUGUACUUUACAGUUGUGUUAUGACUCUGGUCCGUCUGCCCGCUCUGCCCUGCUCUGUCAUCAUGCAAUCAUCUCAUCUGCUUCACCUGUUUGCUGCUGCGCUGGGGCGCAAUCACAGUCAUGCCACGCACCUGUUUCACUGCUGUUAUAUACAGCCCUCAGACUGGCAGACAGUGCCAGAUUUUCGAAAACAUUUCCCUGGAUCUCGACCCUGUUUCUGUCCACGGAUUUACGCCCCUGCCAAGCCCCUGGUUUAUUCAAACCAGAGGACAAUCUCAGCUCUCUGUGUUCCAGCCACAGCUUCAGCUGAUUCCCCUGAGGUUCUGGAUCACAUCUUCUUCUGGGUUCCGCUCCCCUUUCCCAGACUGAGAAGCGAUUUGUGGAAGCUGACUGCUGGUCUCCUGUUCUGAUUCCUGUUUUGCU